AUGCAGGCAACAUUUCUGUUCACGGUCGUCGGCACCACCAGAUUCCUGGUUGUCCUUGUAGGCCAGUUCCCUGGGGAUUGGGGCUUCUUCGUUCCCUACUUGACCAGAAGCAUUUUGUUGGUAGUAUUAGCCAUCAACAAUAUUUCUCCAGGGUAUUUUUCUUCUGACAUAACAAACGCCUUUAUCGGAGUACUAGUUUUCUUGCCCUGA
rnacentral:rRNA from 1 species